rnacentral:rRNA from 1 species
GAGUUUGAUCCUGGCUCAGAUUGAACGCUGGCGGCAGGCCUAACACAUGCAAGUCGAGCGGUAGAGAGAAGCUUGCUUCUCUUGAGAGCGGCGGACGGGUGAGUAAUGCCUAGGAAUCUGCCUGGUAGUGGGGGAUAACGCUCGGAAACGGACGCUAAUACCGCAUACGUCCUACGGGAGAAAGCAGGGGACCUUCGGGCCUUGCGCUAUCAGAUGAGCCUAGGUCGGAUUAGCUAGUUGGUGAGGUAAUGGCUCACCAAGGCGACGAUCCGUAACUGGUCUGAGAGGAUGAUCAGUCACACUGGAACUGAGACACGGUCCAGACUCCUACGGAGGCAGCAGUGGGGAAUAUUGGACAAUGGGCGAAAGCCUGAUCCAGCCAUGCCGCGUGUGUGAAGAAGGUCUUCGGAUUGUAAAGCACUUUAAGUUGGGAGGAAGGGCAGUAAAUUAAUACUUUAGCUGUUUUGACGUUACCGACAGAAUAAGCACGGCUAACUCUGUGCCAGCA